AUUGAACGCUGGCGGCAUGCCUUACACAUGCAAGUCGAACGGAUUUGAGGGGCUUGCUCCUCAAGUUAGUGGCGAACGGGUGAGUAAAGCAUCGGAACGUACCCAGUAGUGGGGGAUAACGUAGCGAAAGUUACGCUAAUACCGCAUACGACCUGAGGGUGAAAGCAGGGGAUCGCAAGACCUUGCGCUAUUGGAGCGGCCGAUGUCGGAUUAGCUAGUUGGUAGGGUAAAAGCCUACCAAGGCGACGAUCCGUAGCUGGUCUGAGAGGACGACCAUCCCAACUGGGACUGAGACACGGCCGAGACUCCGAAGGGAGGCAGCAGUGGGUAAUUUUGGACAAUGGGCGAAAGCCUGAUCCAGCCAUGCCGCGUGAGUGAAGAAGGCCUUCGGGUUGUAAAGCUCUUUCAGACGGAAAGAAAUCUUCUGGGCUAAUACCCCGGGAGGAUGACGGUACCGUAAGAAGAAGCACCGGCUAACUACGUGCCAGCCGCCGCCGUAA
rnacentral:rRNA from 1 species